UUCUUUCAGACGAAUAUACGUUUUCGUUGCUAUCAGUUCUGUUUUAAUUUUCAUAGAUUGCCUGUUUGUCGUCGCAAAAGAUUUUUUAAUAGGCUUUCGUACAAAAAGUAAACUUUAUGCCUUGGCCGAUUAUUUACCUUUUAUCCUUACCAACGCCAUUUCCCAACAGUUUAUCACGUUUGUAAUUUUAACAGAGGAGCUACUAAAAGCUUCAAAUGAUAUUCUGAAAAACUUAUUACUGAAGAUACGCAUUCACAAACGAGAAGGUUCGAAUAAUACAGACAAUACAAUAGCAGUUAUAGUAAAAGUUCACGAAAUUUAUAAAGAUAUACUGCAAUAUUCUGAAACGGUAAAUUUAUUGUAUAGUUUUCAACUAACUUGCCUUAUGGGAUGCUAUUUUAUAACAUGUAUAAACGAACUUCAUCAGAUUUACACAAAUUUAAACAUCCACCAUGAAAACGUAAUUUUGGAAAUUAGUAUGAAUCUUCAAUUAGCAUUUAUAGCUUUUUUUAAAACAGUUUUAAUAAUUUGGUCAUGCUGCAGGGUUUAUAAACAAGUAAGUAAGCAAAAAUUGUAUAUAUACUUGUCUAUAUUAAUGGAGCAAUUUUUUAGGUAGAUAUUUUAAUAUCUCUUAUCCAUGAUAUUAAUAAUAAAUCAUUCAACUUUAACUUAAACGACCAGCUUAGAUGGUUUUCGAUGCAUCUGAGGUAUGAAAAAAUAUUUUAUCGACCAUGUAAAUUGUUUACGCUGGAUAUCAAAUUCCUUGGAAAGGUAAUGCUCGGAAUAGUUUCGUAUCUUUUGAUACUAAUACAAUUCGAUAGAGCCACAGAAACAUAAAUAGAAAAUCAACAAUAAUUUAUAUAGGUGUGAGAUACAUCAAAAAUAUUAUUUACCUGUACUUUCCCCUGCGUAAAUAAAUAAUCAUGUCGUAAAUA